ensembl:snRNA U6 U6 spliceosomal RNA
GUGCUUGCUUUGGCAGCACAUAUACUAAAAUUGGAAGGAUACAGAGAAGAUUAGCAUGGCCCCUGCACAAGGAUGACACGCAAAUUUGGGAAGUGUUUCCUAUUUUU